rnacentral:rRNA from 1 species
UACAGAGGUCUCAAGCGUUGUCCGGAAUCAUUGGGCGUAAAGAGCGUGUAGGCGGCCCGGUAAGUCCGCUGUGAAAGUCGGGGGCUCAACCCUCGAAUGCCGGUGGAUACUGUCGGGCUAGAGUGCGGAAGAGGCGAGUGGAAUUCCUGGUGUAGCGGUGAAAUGCGCAGAUAUCAGGAGGAACACCAAUUGCGAAGGCAGCUCGCUGGGACGUAACUGACGCUGAGACGCGAAAGCGUGGGGAGCAAACAGG